rnacentral:rRNA from 1 species
AACUCUGGGAUAAGCCUGGGAAACUGGGUCUAAUACCGGAUAUGACUCCUCAUCGCAUGGUGGGGGGUGGAAAGCUUUAUUGUGGUUUUGGAUGGACUCGCGGCCUAUCAGCUUGUUGGUGAGGUAAUGGCUUACCAAGGCGACGACGGGUAGCCGGCCUGAGAGGGUGACCGGCCACACUGGGACUGAGACACGGCCCAGACUCCUACGGGAGGCAGCAGUGGGGAAUAUUGCACAAUGGGCGCAAGCCUGAUGCAGCGACGCCGCGUGAGGGAUGACGGCCUUCGGGUUGUAAACCUCUUUCAGUAGGGAAGAAGCGAAAGUGACGGUACCUGCAGAAGAAGCGCCGGCUAACUACGUGCCAGCAGCCGCGGUAAUACGUAGGGCGCAAGCGUUAUCCGGAAUUAUUGGGCGUAAAGAGCUCGUAGGCGGUUUGUCGCGUCUGCCGUGAAAGUCCGGGGCUCAACUCCGGAUCUGCGGUGGGUACGGGCAGACUAGAGUGAUGUAGGGGAGACUGGAAUUCCUGGUGUAGCGGUGAAUGCGCAGAUAUCAGGAGGACACCGAUGGCGAAGGCAGGUCUCUGGGCAUUAACUGACGC